GGAGAGAUGGCUGAGUGGUUGAUAGCUCCGGUCUUGAAAACCGGUAUAGUUCUAGGAACAAUCGAGGGUUCGAAUCCCUCUCUCUCCU